UACAGAGGGGGCAAGCGUUAUUCGGAAUUAUUGGGCGUAAAGGGUGCGUAGGCGGGCAGGUAAGUCCGUGGUGAAAUCUCUGAGCUUAACUCAGAAACUGCCAUGGAUACUAUUUGUCUUGAAUAUUGUGGAGGUAAGCGGAAUAUGUCAUGUAGCGGUGAAAUGCUUAGAUAUGACAUAGAACACCAAUUGCGAAGGCAGCUUACUACACAGUUAUUGACGCUGAGGCACGAAAGCGUGGGGAUCAAACAGG
rnacentral:rRNA from 1 species